AGGAAAUGAAAAGCUUGCCAAAUUUAUGUUAAGUUUCAAAACAAACUAGAAAAUUAACUUGUUUCAGAAUCUGCUAUAUGAUGCACUAAAGGUUACUUCAGAGCUUGAACUAUUUGCAACUCAAGUCAAUUUCAAAUGCGACGCGUGACAAUUGCAAAAUCUGAAACCGAGUCUGAAAUUACUUCGAAAAACAUAAUAGAGAUCGAUGUGAGGCGACAAAGCAAAGGCUGCAUAGUCAAGUGCAAAGUGCGUGAAGACCUAAUUAGGCCUGGAUUUGAAUGCUUUAGGCCAAACGCUUAUGCAAAUACCAAAUGACAGCUGCGAAAUGAGGCGCAGCCACAGGAAGAACGCAAUGUCACACGUUUGAGUCAACACAAACACGCACUUAAUGCCCCAUGAGCAUCGCCAUAGAAAAACACACAAAGCUCAAGCAAAAGCAACCUAUUUCCAUAGAAUACACAAUACACAAUACUUUCUCACAGGCUGUAUCAGACCAAGCCAAUCGUGUGGUUCUACGGUCCCAGCCCCUGGCUGAUCAUAACAACUGAAAUCCAUUAAAGCCCAAUCAAAGUGAAGAUCUGUAAGCAUAUGAAAAAAUCACCGUAGAACAUGAAGAAAAAUGCGUUGAAACACCUUAAAUGAUUACUCAAAAUAAGUGGAGAAAUUCGGUGUU